UACGUAGGGUGCGAGCGUUGAUCGGAUUUACUGGGCGUAAAGCGUGCGCAGGCGGCCCGUUAAGACAGGUGUGAAAUCCCUGGGCUCAACCUAGGAAUUGCGCUUGUGACUGGCGGGCUCGAGUACGGUAGAGGGGGGUGGAAUUCCUGGUGUAGCAGUGAAAUGCGUAGAGAUCAGGAGGAACACCGAUGGCGAAGGCAGCCCCCUGGGCCUGUACUGACGCUCAUGCACGAAAGCGUGGGGAGCAAACAGG
rnacentral:rRNA from 1 species